rnacentral:rRNA from 1 species
GACGAACGCUGGCGGCGUGCCUAAUACAUGCAAGUUGAGCGAUGAAGCUUGGUGCUUGCACCAAUUUGAAGAGCAGCGAACGGGUGAGUAACGCGUGGGGAAUCUGCCUUUGAGCGGGGGACAACAUUUGGAAACGAAUGCUAAUACCGCAUAACAACUUUAAACAUAAGUUUUAAGUUUGAAAGAUGCAAUUGCAUCACUCAAAGAUGAUCCCGCGUUGUAUUAGCUAGUUGGUGAGGUAAAGGCUCACCAAGGCGAUGAUACAUAGCCGACCUGAGAGGGUGGUCGGCCACAUUGGGACUGAGACACGGCCCAAACGCCUACGGGAGGCAGCAGGAGGGAAUCGUCGGCAAUGGACGAAAGUCUGACCGAGCAACGCCGCGUGAGUGAAGAAGGUUGUCGGAUCGUAAAACUCGGUUGGUAGAGAAGAACGUUGGUGAGAGUGGAAAGCUCAUCAAGUGACGGUAACUACCCAGAAAGGGACGGCUAACUACGUG